GCUCGGCUAGCUUAGUUGGAAGAGCGUGAGACUUUUACAACUGCAUCAUCUCAAGGUCGUGGGUUCGAGCCCCACGCUGAGCG